CUUUAGCCCACUAGUAUCCCCUCCCCCAUCCAUGGUUGUGUCCAGCGGUGCAGGUGGAGAUAUGUGUACAGUCACCGCCACUGUCUGUCAGGAUUACUGGGGCAGGUUCCUACAAUAUAGGAUCUGCUCAGUGGAUAUCUCCUAUAUAAGAUCCUUCUCCUUACUGACCCGUCGAGGAUGGAUAGGGAGAAGAUGGCAGAGCAUUUUAUAAAUCUCACCCUAGAGAUCCUCUUCCGGCUUACUGGAGAGGACUACACAGUAGUGAAGAAGACCUCUAGUGAGCGCUGUCAGGACCCUGUGUCU